UACGAAGGGCGCAAGCGUUGUUCGGAUUUAUUGGGCGUAAAGCGCGCGCAGGCGGCUUGAAAAGUCAGAUGUGAAAUCUCGGAGCUCAACUGCGAAACUGCGUCUGAAACUCUCAGGCUAGAGUCAUAGAGGGGGAAGGGGGAUUUCACGUGUAGGGGUAAAAUCCGUAGAGAUGUGAAGGAACACCUGAGGCGAAGGCGCCUUCCUGGCUAUGUACUGACGCUGAGGCGCGAAAGCGUGGGGAGCAAACAGG
rnacentral:rRNA from 1 species